GUUGACCAUUGUGAAGUUGAGUUUUUGGGGUAGCAUAGAUUUAUAUCGUUGUAUUCCUUUUGUUUGUGUUAACCAAUUGUUGUUCGGAAUUAUUUUUUAUACAUCAUUUAUUGAUCUUGCAAUUUCUUGUAAUUUAGUUUGCGUCUUAUUUCUUGAGUGUCAUAUUUGGCUAUGUUUGUGUUCGAUCAUACAGUAUAAUAAGUCGGUAGUUGCCCGCGAAUGGAUUUUUUUUAAUUUCUUGUGACUUUUUGCGUCUUAUUUGUUGAUUGCAGUUGGUUUUUGUUUUGUGUCUUAAAUUACCCCUCACUCUUUUUCGCAAUUUGAAUGUUAAAUUUUCGUUCCCGUAUGUAAAUAACCAGC
rnacentral:lncRNA from 1 species